rnacentral:rRNA from 1 species
UAGGGAAUAUUAGUAAUGGGCGAAAGCCUGAACUAGCAACGCCGCGUGUGCGAAGAAGGCCUUCGGGUUGUAAAGCACUUUUUGAGAGGAUGAGGAAGGACGGUACUCUCAGAAUAAGUCUCGGCUAACUACGUGCCAGCAGCCGCGGUAACACGUAGGAGGCGAACGUUAUCCGGAUUUACUGGGCGUAAAGCGCGUGUAGGUGGUUUGGUAAGUAGGGCGUGAAAGCUCCUGGCUCAACUGGGAGAGGCCGUUCUAAGCUGCCGAACUAGAGGAUGGUAGAGGGAGGUGGAAUUCCGGGUGUAGCGAUGGAAUGCGCAGAUAUCCGGAGGAACACCAGUGGCGAAAGCGGCCUCCUGGACCAUUCCUGACACUCAGACGCGAAAGCUAGGGUAGCAAACG